rnacentral:rRNA from 1 species
UACGUAGGGGCCGAGCGUUGUCCGGAAUUAUUGGGCGUAAAGCGCGUGUAGGCGGCUUGGUAGGUCCGGCGUGAAAGCCCGCAGCUCAACUGCGGAACUGCACCGGAAACCACCUCGCUAGAGUUCGGGAGGGGAGAGUGGAAUUCCUGGUGUAGCGGUGAAAUGCGCAGAUAUCAGGAAGAACACCAGUGGCGAAGGCGGCUCUCUGGAACGAUACUGACGCUGAGACGCGAAAGCGUGGGGAGCGAACAGG